rnacentral:miRNA from 12 species
UAAGUGCCCUCUGUUAGGAUGA